GACGAACGCUGGCGGCGUGCCUAAUACAUGCAAGUUGAGCGCUGAAGGUUGGUACUUGUCCCAACUGGAUGAGCAGCGAACGGGUGAGUAACGCGUGGGGAAUCUGCCUUUGAGCGGGGGACAACAUUUGGAAACGAAUGCUAAUACCGCAUAAAAACUUUAAACACAAGUUUUAAGUUUGAAAGAUGCAAUUGCAUCACUCAAAGAUGAUCCCGCGUUGUAUUAGCUAGUUGGUGAGGUAAAGGCUCACCAAGGCGAUGAUACAUAGCCGACCUGAGAGGGUGAUCGGCCACAGUGGGACUGAGAAACGGCCCAAACUCCUACGGGAGGCAGCAGGAGGGAAUCUUCGGCAAUGGACGAAAGUCUGACCGAGCAACGCCGCGUGAGUGAAGAAGGUUUUCGGAUCGUAAAACUCUGUUGGUAGAGAAGAACGUUGGUGAGAGUGGAAAGCUCAUCAAGUGACGGUAACUACCCAGAAAGGGACGGCUAACUACGUG
rnacentral:rRNA from 1 species